GCAGCUGGAGGAGGCCUUUGGAAAGCUGGGGCUGGCUGGAGCCGACGGGAAAGCGGGCAGCAGCCACCAGAUCCCCCUGCAGCUGGGGUCUGCGCGGCAGGAGAUGAUCCAGGCCACACUGGACCAGUUGGUGACCAAGAGGACCCAGCAGCUGCAGGAGCAGGUGGACGAGCUGAGAGCCAUAGUGGAGAGCGCGGGGCAGGAGCUGGCAGGGGGCAUCUUGGACACCAGGGUGCAGCUGGCCCAGCUGGUCCAGCACGUCGUCACCAGCCAAGUAAGCCGGGUCUGUGGCCACGGGGCAGCCAG